UUCGCCAGGGAACUACGAGCAUAAGCUUAAAACCCAAAGGACUUGGCGGUGCUUUAGACCCCCCUAGAGGAGCCUGUUCUAUAACCGAUAAUCCCCGUUAGACCUCACCUUUUCUUGUUAUUUCCGCCUAUAUACCGCCGUCGUCAGCUUACCCUGUGAAGGCUGCUCAGUAAGCAAGAUCGAUUUUAUCCAAAACGUCAGGUCGAGGUGUAGCAUAUGAAAAGGAAAGAAAUGGGCUACAUUUUCUAAUCUAGAAAAUAACGGAAAUUGCCAUGAAAUAGUAUAUUCAAGGAGGAUUUAGCAGUAAGCAGAGAAUAGAGAGCUCC
rnacentral:rRNA from 1 species